rnacentral:rRNA from 1 species
CCUACGGGAGGCAGCAGUGAGGAAUAUUGGUCAAUGGCCGAGAGGCUGAACCAGCCAAGUCGCGUGAGGGAAGACGGCCCUACGGGUUGUAAACCUCUUGUGUCGGGGAGCAAAGAGAGUCACGUGUGACCCAUUGAGAGGACCCGAAGAAAAAGCAACGGCUAACUCCGUGCCAGCAGCCGCGGUAAUACGGAGGAUGCGAGCGUUAUCCGGAUUUAUUGGGGUUAAAGGGUGCGCAGGCGGAGGUGCAAGUCAGCGGUCAAAUUGCGGGGCUCCACCCCGGAAUGCCGUUGAAACUGCAUCCCUUGAGUGCGCGAGCAGUAUGCGGAAUGCGUGGUGUAGCGGUGAAAUUCAUAGAUAUCACGCAGCACUCCGAUUGCGAAGGCAGCAUACCGGCGCGCAACUGACGCUCAUGCACG